CACGUAGGCGGACCAUCAAGUUGGGGGUGAAAUCCCGGGGCUCAACCCCGGAACUGCCUCCAAAACUGCUGGUCUGGAGGUCGAGAGAGGUGAGUGGAAUUCCGAGUGUAGAGGUGAAAUUCGUAGAUAUUCGGAGGAACACCAGUGGCGAAGGCGGCUCACUGGCUCGAUACUGACGCUGAGGUGCGAAAGCGUGGGGAGCAAACA
rnacentral:rRNA from 1 species